UAAGUCAGCCACGAAUAGGCUAUCCCAACUAACGGCGGGAAAGACUCCACGGAGGGUGUAAGACCCGUGUGGGCGCGUGUUAAAGCUGUGCGGGCUCGGCCUCUAUUCCCUGAGAGUCGCGUUGCUUGAGCAUGCAGCGCUAAGCAGGUCGUAAACUCGAUCUAAGGCUAAAUAUGUCCACAGAACCGAUAGCGAACAAGUACCGUGAGGGAAAGUUGAAAAGCACUCUGGAGAGAGAGUCAAAAGACCGUGAAACCGCUCAGAGUAUAAGCCCAUGGCUGCUUGGAAGGCAUAUCGCUAGCGGGGCAUCGGUCUCCCUUCGCGGGGAGCUGGUGUUACCUUGCUUCUGUUGUGGCUCGUCAUGGUAGGGGGGUCAAGUCCACAUCCCGCCGUCGUGUGGGGGGUUCUCGGGUGUGUUGUGGUUUCUUUGUUGGCUUCGGCUGGCAGAGGGGCCCUUCGUGCUCGGUUCCUCUUUGGACACGGACGUUCAGACUCAGUUGCAAGACGCGAUAAACAGCCCACCACGGCACGUUGUGAGGUCACCCACAGGCUCGACUUUCGAUCGUGAGCCUUGACGCCGAGCAAGCACAAUGCGUGUCGCUGAGGUUCCUAACCAGGCAAUGGCGCCAGGAUCGUGGAACGACACGUGCUCAACAGUCAGGUUCGGGCGGAGACAGAGUUCUGGUAUGAUCCUCUUGCGACGAGCCGGCUUCUGGCCGAUAUCCGAUGCUCAGGUCUCCCGCAUGUGCCGCGGGAGAUCGCCUUGACGGUCUGGA
rnacentral:rRNA from 6 species